GGAUAUGAGGGUGAUCUGGCUGCGAUAUCUGUCACCCCAUUGAUCGCCAGGGUUGAUUCAGCUGAUCUGGCUGGCUAGGCGGGUGUCCCCUUCCUCCCUCACCGCUCCAUGUGUGUCCCUCCUGAAGCUGCGCUCCUUGAAGAGGACGGCCUUCCCCAAAUAGAGACGGACUGGUCUUCGGUCGAGGGUAUACAAGUAGCUGCGCUCCCCUGCUAGAACCUCCAAACAAGCUCUCAAGAAUAUAUAUAUGACAGACUUUGAAACUAAACUUAUCUCCACUUGAACCAGAAGAUUUAAAAU
rnacentral:snRNA from 1 species